rnacentral:lncRNA from 1 species
GGGGAAGUGUACGGGUUUUUCAGUAUAAGCCAUCUGAAUUACUGUGAACCUGACUUGAGGUUCACGUCAGUGGUUACAGAUUUUAACAAUUUCCUGGACAGAUGUGAUGACUUUCUGAUGUAUUUGAGAUGCUGCAAUGAUUCACUGCUUUUAGAUCAGCCAGAUAAGUGUGCAAAGAAGCACUUCUUAUUUCUGGUGAUUAAGUACCUCACUCCGCAUUUUGCCAGAAGGCAAGUGAUUCCGGAUUCCUGGGUCAGAGAAACCAACGUGGGAAACCAAAGGGUGAUGUAAGUUUUCUUGCUGGGUCAGAUACCCCCAGAGGUCAACCACCCGGACUUUUCUGAUAUGCUGAAAUUUGAGAAUGAGAAGCACCCAAGAUAGUUUUAUGCGGAGCUAUAGAGACACUUUCUUCAAGUUGUCUCUGAAAGAAGUGUUGUUUCUCGCUGGGUAAGUACUUCCUGCCCAGACACGUAGCUUGUUUUCAAGGGCAAAGAUGAUGUUUUUGUGAACACCCAUUACAUACUGAAUUACGUGAAUAGCUUAUUCAAGAAAAAAAGCCAAAGAUCUGUUUAUAGGUGAUGUGAUCCACAAUGCUGGACCUCAUGGGGAUAAGAAGCUGAAAUACUACAUUCUAGAAGUUGUUUACUCUGUCCUCUACUCACCCUAUGCAAGGGGGAGGGCGGAUUCCUCUAGUCCAGCCACCUGGCUCUGAGGCUGUACCAUAUCACUGACUGGGUCCAUCUCUAACCUAUUGAUGAUUUUUAUACUGCAAUGUGCCUUCAAAAACUUAGCCUUGUUCCAGAGAAGCACAAAGGCUUCAGGACAUUUGAUAUGAAGGAGACAAACAAGAAUAACAUUUGUUCCUACAUAGAUCUGAUGUUAGUACAUAGUGGAAAACCUGAAGAGAUGAUUGUUAUUUGGUCUCGGUUGCAAAAUGCUUAUUUAAAAUGCU